rnacentral:rRNA from 1 species
CUUGCUUUCUCGAGCGAGUGGCGAACGGGUGAGUAACACGUGAGCAACCUGCCUUUCAGUGGGGGACAACAGUUGGAAACGACUGCUAAUACCGCAUAAUGUAUUCUGACCGCAUGAUCGGAAUACCAAAGAUUUAUUGCUGAAAGAUGGGCUCGCGUCUGAUUAGAUAGUUGGUGAGGUAACGGCUCACCAAGUCGACGAUCAGUAGCCGGACUGAGAGGUUGAACGGCCACAUUGGAACUGAGAUACGGUCCAGACUCC